rnacentral:lncRNA from 1 species
GCCGCCGCCGCCGCGGAGCGAACCAGGGGUGUCCGGGGUGCGCGGUCCAGGGCCGGGGCCGGGCCAUGAGCGCGCCGUCCUCGAGUCCCCGAGCCGCGGAGCCCGCCCGCGCCCCUCGGGCCGCCCCGCGCCCCUCGCCAUGGCGCGGCUCGCGGACUACUUCGUGCUGGUGGCGUUCGGGCCGCACCCGCGCGGGAGUGGGGAAGGCCAGGGCCAGAUUCUGCAGCGCUUCCCAGAGAAGGACUGGGAGGACAACCCAUUCCCCCCAGGGCAUCGAGCUGGUGAGUUGGGGGCGUGCUGAGACGGUGCUGGCAGGUGGGGAGGGCAGGUGGGCACAGCCCUGCCCUUGUCCCUGACUGAGGGGCCUCCGCAGUGCCCGGCCCCCCGCUGGGCUAGGGACAAGACAGCAGAGCCUCUGUCGGGGGGUCUGACCGGCUUGGCCGGCGGCCUGCGCGGUGCUCAUGUCACUGUGUCAUGUUGUCACUCACUCAUGAUGGUGGGGAC